rnacentral:rRNA from 1 species
AUCAAUAAGCGGAGGAAAAGAAACCAACAGGGAUUGCCUCAGUAACGGCGAGUGAAGCGGCAACAGCUCAAAUUUGAAAUCUGGCCUCGGCCCGAGUUGUAAUUUGUAGAGGAAGCUUUGGGUGCGGCACCGACCGAGUCCCCUGGAACGGGGCGCCAUAGAGGGUGAGAGCCCCGUAUGGUUGGACGCCUAUCCUGUGUAAAGCUCCUUCGACGAGUCGAGUAGUUUGGGAAUGCUGCUCAAAAUGGGAGGUAAAUUUCUUCUAAAGCUAAAUAUUGGCCAGAGACCGAUAGCGCACAAGUAGAGUGAUCGAAAGAUGAAAAGCACUUUGAAAAGAGGGUUAAAUAGCACGUGAAAUUGUUGAAAGGGAAGCGCUUGUGACCAGACUUGCGCCUCGUCGAUCAUCCGGGGUUCUCCCCGGUGCACUCGGCGGGGCUCAGGCCAGCAUCGGUUUUCGCGGGGGGACAAAGGUCCCGGGAACGUAGCUCCUCCGGGAGUGUUAUAGCCCGGGGCGUAAUGCCCUCGCGGGGACCGAGGACCGCGCUUCGGCAAGGAUGCUGGCGUAAUGGUCAUCAGCGACCCGUCUUGAAACACGGACCAAGGAGUCAAGGUUUUGCGCGAGUGUUUGGGUGUAAAACCCGCACGCGUAAUGAAAGUGAACGUAGGUGAGAGCUUCGGCGCAUCAUCGACCGAUCCUGAUGUAUUCGGAUGGAUUUGAGUAGGAGCGUUAAGCCUUGGACCCGAAAGAUGGUGAACUAUGCUUGGAUAGGGUGAAGCCAGAGGAAACUCUGGUGGAGGCUCGCAGCGGUUCUGACGUGCAAAUCGAUCGUCAAAUCUGAGCAUGGAGGCG